GGUUAAGCGACUAAGCGUACACGGUGGAUGCCCUGGCAGUCAGAGGCGAUGAAGGACGUGCUAAUCUGCGAUAAGCGUCGGUAAGGUGAUAUGAACCGUUAUAACCGGCGAUUUCCGAAUGGGGAAACCCAGUGUGAUUCGUCACACUAUCAUUAACUGAAUCCAUAGGUUAAUGAGGCGAACCGGGGGAACUGAAACAUCUAAGUACCCCGAGGAAAAGAAAUCAACCGAGAUUCCCCCAGUAGCGGCGAGCGAACGGGGAGGAGCCCAGAGCCUGAAUCAGUGUGUGUGUUAGUGGAAGCGUCUGGAAAGGCGCGCGAUACA
rnacentral:rRNA from 1 species